AAUAUUAGGAUAGAAACUGGGUGAAUGGCCGGUUCUGUCGCUCUGAAAUGUGACAGUCUUUAUGUGUCUUGGUUUAAGACCACUCAGUCCUGUUUCCCAUCCCUCUGUAGAUUGAGUUUGUACUCAAACACAGUGAAGUUUGUGAUUUUGGCAACAAGCUCAGGAACAACAAACUCUCCUGUCUUCUCGUAGCCCAUGUGCUCAUACAGCUUCUGAGCGUCUGUCUGCACCACAGAAGUGUACAGGAUGACUGCUGCAUAACCCCUGUCGCGAGUAAAUUCAGCUACUGUCCGACACAGAGCCUUAGCGAUGCCUAUCCCGCGGUCUCACUGAUGUUGGUGAGGUCCUUUUUGAGGGAGGUGUCGAUGUAUCUGUUGAACAUGUAGACAACAGACUGCCGGGCCCCGGCCAGGAGGAGGGUAACGGCCAGGAUGGGUAGCAGGAAGGACUUGGAGCUAGUCAGGAGAGCGCAAAACAUGCACAUGACCACCAUUUGGGUAAGCGGCUGCUUCAGGAGGUGCAUGAAGGAUGAAGCCCAGGUUGAUCUCCCCUGCAAACAUGGUGAUCAGCAGUAUAAUAGUGAACCCGGUGAGCAGCCCUGCGUUCUGGAUCAGGAAGAAGAUGAUCUUGGUGGAGGUCCGCUUCUGUUCCCGUGCUAUGCCGUCCAUCUCUGGAAACUGAAAUGAAGAAUGACAAUCAGAUAUGUGUCUCUUCAUAACAAUCCUCUAACAGACAAAUUACAAUGGCCUUAUUGUUCAACAGUAUAAUACAAAAUGGAAAGUGAUAAGAAGAAGUGUGAAUCGGUUGUUAUGUGUGAGACACAGUUAUUAUGUUGUUCCCUUGCAAAGAAACUGGAGAAAAGACCACAAGUCAGCGUAUUGAUCAUCUUACUGCUGGUCUUAUUGUCAACAAAUUCCAUGAAAAAAACAAAACCAACCAGGAAUUGAUCCUACUAACGAUAAUUCCCUUUGUACCCAAAGCCUUUACUUGAUUAAUAAGUCUAAGGGUCACAAAUUGAUUAACAAGUUAGGAACAAAAAUAUUUUUCUCCUUCAUAAAAUUAAGUUUAUUUUUAAGGAUAUUUAUCUUUACAAUGCUGGAAACUACACUGGAUAGUUUUACCUCUUCAGGCCUCUUAUGUUAUUCAAAUUAACGUAUCUGAGAAGGUAAAAAAAAUCUCUUUUCUUGCUUCAAGGGCUCACAGAUUCUAGAAAUACAGUAUGAUGAGCUGACUUUGUAGAAUCUUACUUCUGUUUGAGGAAUGCUUGCUGAAAACUACAGUGUCCAGGGGUUGUAGAAUUGAGUUGUUUGAUUAAUUUUAAUCCAACAUUCAUUGAUUUAUUUGGCCACUUGGCGGCAACACAACAAGCUGUAAACAAAAAAUUGACAUCAUAUUACAAAGUUAUGUUACUAAACAGUUCAUCAACAUUCAUUUGGAGUUGUGUUUCUGGCCUCCCGAUGAAUUUAAAUCCAAUUAUUUCA